GAGUUUGAUCCUGGCUCAGGAUGAACGCUGGCGGCGUGCCUAACACAUGCAAGUCGAGCGAUCUUCUUCGGAAGAGAGCGGCGGACGGGUGAGUAACGCGUGGGUAACCUGCCCUGUACACACGGAUAACAUACCGAAAGGUAUGCUAAUACGAGAUAAUAUACUUUUAUCGCAUGGUAGAAGUAUCAAAGCUUUUGCGGUACAGGAUGGACCCGCGUCUGAUUAGCUAGUUGGUGAGGUAACGGCUCACCAAGGCGACGACGCGUAGCCGGACUGAGAGGUUGGCCGGCCACAUUGGGACUGAGACACUGCCCAGACUCCUACGGGGGGCUGCAGUAACGAAUCUUCCGCAAUGCACGCAAGUGUGACGGAGCGACGCCGCGUGUAGGAUGAAGUCCUUCGGAGUGU
rnacentral:rRNA from 1 species